CCUACGCGUGUCAGCAGUGGGGAAUAUUGGACAAUGGGCGAAAGCCUGAUCCAGCCAUGCCGCGUGUGUGAAGAAGGCCUUCGGGUUGUAAAGCACUUUCAGUGGGGAAGAAAGCCUUGGGGCUAAUACCCUCGAGGAAGGACAUCACCCACAGAAGAAGCACCGGCUAACUCCGUGCCAGCAGCCGCGGUAAUACGGAGGGUGCGAGCGUUAAUCGGAAUUACUGGGCGUAAAGCGCGCGUAGGCGGUCUGAUAAGCCGGUUGUGAAAGCCCCGGGCUCAACCUGGGAACGGCAUCCGGAACUGUCAGGCUAGAGUGCAGGAGAGGAAGGUAGAAUUCCCGGUGUAGCGGUGAAAUGCGUAGAGAUCGGGAGGAAUACCAGUGGCGAAGGCGGCCUUCUGGACUGACACUGACGCUGAGGUGCGAAAGCGUGGGUAGCAAACAGGAUUAGAUACCCUAGUAGUC
rnacentral:rRNA from 1 species